UCCAAUUGUUCUUUGAAGGCGAACCCAAA
rnacentral:piRNA from 1 species